rnacentral:rRNA from 1 species
UACGAAGGGGGCUAGCGUUGCUCGGAAUCACUGGGCGUAAAGCGCACGUAGGCGGAUCUUUAAGUCAGAGGUGAAAUCCCAAGGCUCAACCUUGGAACUGCCUUUGAUACUGGGGAUCUCGAGUCCGGAAGAGGUGAGUGGAACUGCGAGUGUAGAGGUGAAAUUCGUAGAUAUUCGCAAGAACACCAGUGGCGAAGGCGGCUCACUGGUCCGGUACUGACGCUGAGGUGCGAAAGCGUGGGGAGUAAACAGG